AAAAAAUUUGAUUACAUAAUCCCAAAACUAAAAAAAAAUUCCAGAUUAUUCAAAAACUAAUCAUGCAUCUGAAAAAAGACUUUCAAAUUAUGUAAUACAAAAACUAAUUACGAAAUUAAAAAAAGACUUCAUAUUCAAGUCCAGAGAAACCGUUACAUAUACUUCAGAACAUCAGUGGAAUCAUAAAGCAUCGAAGGUGAAUUCAACACUCAUUGUUUU
rnacentral:lncRNA from 1 species